ensembl:processed_transcript 8430429K09Rik RIKEN cDNA 8430429K09 gene
AGAACAACUUCCGGUUCCAGCCGGAAAAGGCUGGUGUGCAGCGCUGCUCUCCGGCCCAGGCGCCCGGCUCGGAGGGCAGGGUAGAAGAGAACAGCUCACCACCUUCCAGCAGCCAGGAACCAGCAAGAGAAUCCAUGAGUUUUUAGUGACAUAGAGAAGCAAACAAAGGGGCCAGGGAAAUGGCUCAUCAAUGGUGACUUCAGUCUUCAGUGGCUCUUGCUUGUAGUGCUAGGACUAGGGAAAGCAGAGAAAGGCUGAUCCCCGAGUCUGCUGGCUAGCUGCUGUGGUAUCACUGAGAGGGCCCUGAUGAAGAAUAAUGAAGGGCUGGUGGGAUGGCUCAGCCAGCAAAGGCACUCGCUAAACAAGCCCAUUGAGCUGACCUUGAUGCCUGGCACUCAUAAUGGAAGGAGAGAAGUGACCU